CCUAGACCUAGACAUUUUUGAGGGUCCGGGGGCUGAACUCCAAAAAACGACCUCCCGUGUCCUUCAUCUUCUUCAGGGACAACAACCUUAACCUACUACACUAAAAACAACCCUAGAACCCCUAGACCACAAGAGGAGCACGCCCAACACCAGUAGGGAACCUCGCCGCCGCCCAGCCAGCCGCCGCCGUUGUCCAACGACCACCCUUCCACCUCCAAUCGCCUCUUACUCACGACUACCACAAAGAACCGCCGUCGUCCCCACCACCCUAGCGCCAUUUCUCAUUCAGAAGAACCACCGCCGGCUAGAUCUCCUUUCUCCACCACUCUACAGCCGCACACCCUACCAAAAGCUGACACCCUUGACACAUACACAUAAAAAAGGAAACGGAAAAGGAUGAACAUUAUUCAAAGGAGAAGCUGAAAUUAGAAAUAUCAGUUUUCAAGCUUCGACUCUGACAUUGCUCACUAGCUGCAUUCAAGUCGUCACGCUCCAAAUUUUCAAGGCUAAUAAUGUUGUUAGUUUUGGUAUCAAAGUGAUAAAGAAAUAGGCUAAAGAAGCUCAGUUUACUUCCAAUUAAAUUCCCAAGGACAAAAACGAAAGGGACAAAGCAACUAGCCAAACUCUUUCUUCUAUUGCUAUUGCAAUCCGUCAAAUUUUGUUUAUAAAAAUGGAGGUCAACCAAGAUUGCAUUUGAUUCGAGGUUUCCGGUGUCAAUUCCCAUCCGCGGUCCCGAUGUAAAUUUGAAGUACAUUAUCGGAUUGCACAAUAUUGUUGCUUGAAGGGGAUCUUUUAUCAAUUCAAUUUUGAUCACCGUUUGGGUUCCACUUGAGAUCAUUACUAGAUUAUAACCGCCCGUCUUUGGUGGUUUUGCUGGAAACCCACUGUCAAACACAUCAGACUUUGAAGGAGGAUUUUAAUUUCACUGGCAUGAUCGAAGUGGCAGCAAUAGGUCAGUCCGGUGGUAUUGUAUUAUUAUGGCUUACUGACGCCCUUACCAUUGAACUUGUGGCAACGACUGCACAAGAAAUUCACUGUCACAUUCAGGUACACCCCUCUUCAUUUAAGUGGUUGUUUACUUCUGUUUAUGCAAGCACUGAUUUGGUAAAUAGGCAGACUUUAUGGAAAAACCUUAGGUGUGUAUUUGAUAAUUAUAAAGGACCAUGGCUUAUAGGUGGAGAUUUUAAUGAAAUAAUUACUUCCACUGAUAAAUUUGGAGGCCUACCUAUUAAUAAUUCACGAGCUAAUAAAUUUUUGGAAGUCACCUAAAUAAUUUAGGAUACAAAGGCUGUCGUUACACUUGGACAAAUGGUAGACAUAGUAAGUACAACAUUCUUGAACGCAUUGACCGUAUUAAUGUAAAUUAUGAGUGGCUUUCAAACUAUCCUAAAGCUUUAGUUACACAUCUUCCACGUACACAUUCCGAUCAUUGUCCCCUGUUAUUAGAAUUAAAAUACUGUGUAUUACCUCAAAUGUUUUUUUUUAGAUUUGAGAUGAUAUGGACUACACAUCCUCAAUUUCCUAGUAUAGUCAAAUAAGCAUGGAUGAAUAAUUUAAUGUUACUUCCAGCCAUAGCAAAUUUCACUGACAUGGUCCAAGAAUGGAAUUCUUUCACUUUUGGUAAUAUCUUUAAACGAAAAAAGAAGAUUUUCGCUAGAUUAAAUGGUAUUCAAUCUUCUUUUAACUAUCCUGCUAGCCAGUUCUUACAUAAUUUAAAGCAUCAACUAAAACUGGUUUUUAACCACAUACUAAAGCUUGAGGAGGACUUUUGGAAGUUAAAGUCCCGUAUUAAUUGGUUAAAUGAUGGCGAUGCAAAUACAAAAUUUUUUCCAUCUUACAACGUUAUAUCGUUGAAGACAUAAUCGUUUAACAGCUCUACAAGAUCAAGGGAGAAAUUAGAUCACUGAUCCACAUCUCAUUAGGAAUAAUAUUACACAUUAUUAUCAAACUCUGUUCAACACCCAACAAAUUUCUUCUAAAAAACAUACCACAAUGCAACACUCUAAUGUUUUAACUCCUCAGGAUUGUUUAUCAUUAUCCAAACCGUUACAAGAUCAUGAAAUUCUAACUGCAAUCCAUUCCUUCAAACCAUUAAAAGCACCUGGACCAGAUGAUCUUCACCCACUUUUUUAUCAAAAAUAUUGGGACACUAUAUGCAGCUCUGUCAAGUUUGUUUGUCAUAAAAUUUUCCUAGAUCAUCAAAUAAAUCCUGCCAUUAACACUACUUACAUAUGUCUAAUUCCUAAACAUAAGCAUGCUGCUACAAUAUCUCAAUAUCGAGCUAUUAGUCUUUGUAAUACUAUUUACAGAAUUAUAACCAAGAUAAUCGUAAAUAGACUAAAACCAAUCCUGGAACACAUUAUUCAUCCAACUUAAUCUAGUUUCCAGAAAAAUAAAAGAGCAACUGAUAAUGCUCUUAUUGUUCAGGAAAUCAUUACAAAAUUCCAAAGAUUGAAGGGGAAUAAUUUAAAUAUGCUUCUUAAAUUGAACCUUGAAAAGGCUUUUGACAAAAUAGAAUGGUCUUUCAUUCAUAACUCUUUAAUAACUUUAAAUUUUCCUCCAAAUUUUAUUAAAUUGAUUAUGUCUUGCAUAACAACAACAUCCACUUCAAUUUUAAUUAAUGGAAACCCUACUGAAUAUUUCACACCAACCAGAGGCAUAUGACAGGGGGAUCCACUAUCACCAUAUCUUUUUAUCAUUUGUCUAGAAAUGUUUUCACGAAAAAUAAAUAUGGAAGUGGAUUACAAUAAUUGGUUACCAUUAGCCUUGGCUAACAGAGGUCCUCAACUAUCUUAUUUAUUUUUUGCUGACGAUAUUAUUCUUACAGCCAAAGUAAUACCUACUACGUGCCAAUGAAUUCUUCAUACUUUGGCUCAAUUCACUAAAUUAUCUAGACAAAUAAUUAACUGUGACAAGUCACAAAUUGUUUUCUCACAAAACUGCACAACUCCUACUAGAACCUUUGUACCCCAAUUUUUUCACAUAAAUGAGGAGAAAAGUUUUGGUAAAUACCUAGGAUUCCCUAUUUUCAUAAAGCAACCAACCAAAAGGGAUUACCAAUUCUUAAUUGACAAUUUUAAAACUAAGUUGGCAGGUUGGAAAAUUAAUUUUUAUCUAAAACAGGAAGGACUACCUUAAUUUGCUCUACUUUAAAUAACCUUCCAUCAUCUUAUGCAAUACAUUAAAUUCCUACUUAUAUACUAUCCCACCUCAAUCGCUACCAGAGAAAUAUUCUCUGGGGAACUUCGACUCAGAAGAAAAAAUUACACCUCAUUAAAUGGAGCACAAUUACUCAACCUUUGGCCCAAGAGGGUUUAGGAAUACAAAACCUAGCUAUUAAGAACAAAGCCCUACAUGCAAGUCUUGCAUGGAGACCAUUUCAAAAUCCACACCAACUAUGGGCACAUGUGCUCCUACACAAGUAUCUACGACCAUCAAACUUAAUUAUAACCAUUGUCUCCUCUACUUGGCGCAAUAUCAUAAAUGGAUGGUCUUAUCGUCAACUAGGAUAUAAAUGGAAUAUUACGAACAAACAAAAUAUUAAAUUCUAGUCGGAUCCUUGGAUCCAGCCUAAUUUACUACUUCGUAACUAGCUAACGGGACCUCUCCCUUCUCUUGAGGAAAAACAACUAGUCUCUAAUUACUACUACAAUCAUAGGUGGUACCUUGACAAAUUACCUUUUGUUAUAGCAAAUCAAUUACAAUCUAAUAUCCUAAAUAUUACUUGCCUUUUUCACCUAUAGCACAUGACCAAAUAUACUGAGCAAAUACACAAAAUGGUCAAUUUUCGGUUAAAUCUAUUUAUAACUCUCUUAUGAAACCCAUGACCUCACAAUAUUCUUAUAAGUGGAUUUGGAAAUUUUCCAUUCCUCCAAAAAUAUCUUUCUUCCUCUAGUUAAUUUGCCAUAAUAGAUUACCCACUGUGGUGUAUCUUACAAAUUUAGGAAUCCUAAAUUCAUCUCUAUGCCCACAAUGUCAUCUGGCCCCUGAAAAUAUCAUUCAUCUCUUUUUUGAAUGCUCACAUAUAACUCAAUUAUGGAAUGACCUUCAUCACUCUUUUCCUCAUCCUAAUUUCACUACAUCCCCAACACUUAAUAUCAAUUGGUUACACCAAUUUAUACACACACCAAUGCCAUCUACUCCCCAUAAAAUGCCUUAUACAACUUUUAUUCCAUUUUCACUAUGGCACAUUUGGAUUAUAAGAAAUAAGAACACUUUUAAACAUCAACGACUUCCUUUGAAUCUUCCUUUCAUAACAAAUAUGGCAGUUGGAUACUACUUCCUAACCACCCCAAAGUCAACAUAUAAGUGUGUAACUCCUCUUUACAUAAAAUAGCAUCCUCCCACAGGUUUUACUUAUAAAUUAAACAUUGAUGGCUCGUGCUCAUAUAUACAACAAAGGUAUGGUAUUGCAGGCAUUUUUCGCAACCAUCAAGGCAAUUGGAUUUUAGGCUUCUCAGGCAAAGCAAACCCAGGUAUAAGUGUUCAGGCAGAACUUCUUGCACUCCUUAUGGGGUUAAAACUGGCAGUACAACAGCACCUCCAACCUCUCAUUAUUGAAACAGAUGCACAUGCAAUCCUAGGUAUGUUUCACUCAACUACUAUGCACUACACUAACAUCCUUAACGAUUGCAGGUUACUCCUCCUAUAGCUGGAUAACCCUCCUAUAUUAUCCAUCUACAGAGAGCAGGAUGGUGUUGCAGAUACUUUAGCUAAAUAUGGAUCCAUCCAUGCACAAGAGCAGUGCAUACUUUUUUGACACACCACCAUCUUUUGCAGAGUCUCCAUAUCAUAACGACUGUAGCGGUAUAUUACAAAGGAGACUUGUUCCAGUAACUUUCAGUACUUCACAACUGCACUCUGCUACUAAUAGUUUGUGUAAUAGUCGUAUAAACACUAAUGAUAUUAGUGUAGUAUCUACUUUUAAUUUCCAGUCUACUAAUGUUUUCCCUAGAGGAAGCUUGUCUGUAAACCCUAAUUUAGCAACUAUGAUGCCUCUUAUGCAUCUACUACAUUCUCAUGUAA